AGUGAACGCUGGCGGUAGGCCUAACACAUGCAAGUCGAACGGCAGCACAGUAAGAGCUUGCUCUUACGGGUGGCGAGUGGCGGACGGGUGAGGAAUACAUCGGAAUCUACUUUUUCGUGGGGGAUAACGUAGGGAAACUUACGCUAAUACCGCAUACGACCUACGGGUGAAAGCAGGGGAUCUUCGGACCUUGCGCGAUUGAAUGAGCCGAUGUCGGAUUAGCUAGUUGGCGGGGUAAAGGCCCACCAAGGCGACGAUCCGUAGCUGGUCUGAGAGGAUGAUCAGCCACACUGGAACUGAGACACGGUCCAGACUCCUACGGGAGGCAGCAGUGGGGAAUAUUGGACAAUGGGCGCAAGCCUGAUCCAGCCAUACCGCGUGGGUGAAGAAGGCCUUCGGGUUGUAAAGCCCUUUUGUUGGGAAAGAAAAGCAGCAGGUUGAUACCCCGCUGUUCCGACGGUACCCAAAGAAUAAGCACCGGCUAACUUCGUG
rnacentral:rRNA from 1 species